AAAAAGGGUUUCUGUCGUGAGUGGCACACGUGGGGUAGCUCGUUUUCUCUUCAUGUGGAAUCAACAUCAAGAGAUUUUGGAAGCAUAAUUUUUUGGUAUUUGGGCAGCUGGUGAUGGUUGGUCCUGGUGCCCCA